UACGUAGGGUGCGAGCGUUGUCCGGAAUUAUUGGGCGUAAAGAGCUCGUAGGCGGUUUGGUAAGUUGGAUGUGAAAUCUCCAGGCUCAACUUGGAGGGGUCAUUCGAUACUGCCAUGACUAGAGUUCGGUAGGGGAGAAUGGAAUUCCCGGUGUAGCGGUGAAAUGCGCAGAUAUCGGGAGGAACACCGGUGGCGAAGGCGGUUCUCUGGGCCUUACCUGACGCUGAGGAGCGAAAGCGUGGGGAGCGAACAGG
rnacentral:rRNA from 1 species